AGAAGAGAAAUGAUGAAAAGGAAAGGAGAGGCCUUUAGAGUUUGGAAUAUGGCUCAGGACGAACGCUGGCGGCGUGCCUAAUACAUGCAAGUCGAGCGGACAGAUGGGAGCUUGCUCCCUGAUGUUAGCGGCGGACGGGUGAGUAACACGUGGGUAACCUGCCUGUAAGACUGGGAUAACUCCGGGAAACCGGGGCUAAUACCGGAUGGUUGUUUGAACCGCAUGGUUCAAACAUAAAAGGUGGCUUCGGCUACCACUUACAGAUGGACCCGCGGCGCAUUAGCUAGUGGUGAGGUAACGGCUCCACCAAGGCGACGAUGCGUAGCCGACCUGAGAGGGUGACUCGGCCACACUGGGACUGAGACACGGCCCAGAACUCCUACGGGAGGCAGCAGUAGGGAAUCUUCCGCAAUGGACGAAAGUCUGACGGAGCAACGCCGCGUGAGUGAUGAAGGUUUUCGGAUCGUAAAGCUCUGUUGUUAGGGAAGAACAAGUACCGUUCGAAUAGGGCGGUACCUUGACGGUACCUAACCAGAAAGCCACGGCUAACUACGUGCCAGCAGCCGCGUAAUACGUAGGUGGCAAGCGUUGUCCGGAAUUAUUGGGCGUAAAGGGCUCGCAGGCGGUUUCUUAAGUCUGAUGUGAAAGCCCACCGGCUCAACCGGGGAGGGUCAUGUGGAAACUGGGGAACUUGAGUGCAGAAGAGGAAGAGUGGAAUUCCACGUGUAGCGGUGAAUGCGUAGAGAUGUGGAGGAACACCAGUGGCGAAGGCGACUCUCUGGUCUGUAACUGACGCUGAGGAGCGAAAGCGUGGGGAGCGAACAGGAUUAGAUACCCUGGUAGUCCACGCCGUAAACGAUGAGUGCUAAGUGUUAGGGAGGUUUCCGCCCCUUAGUGCUGCAGCUAACGCAUUAAGCACUCCGCCUGGGGAGUACGGUCGCAAGACUGAAACUCAAAGGAAUUGACGGGGGCCCGCACAAGCGGUGGAGCAUGUGGUUUAAUUCGAAGCAACGCGAAGAACCUUACCAGGUCUUGACAUCCUCUGACAAUCCUAGAGAUAGGACGUCCCUUCGGGGGCAGAGUGACAGGUGGUGCAUGGUUGUCGUCAGCUCGUGCUCGUGAGAUGUUGGGUUAAGUCCCGCAACGAGCGCAACCCUUGAUCUUAGUUGCCAGCAUUCAGUUGGGCACUCUAAGGUGACUGCCGGUGACAAACCGGAGGAAGGUGGGGAUGACGUCAAAUCAUCAUGCCCCUUAUGACCUGGGCUACACACGUGCUACAAUGGACAGAACAAAGGGCAGCGAAACCGCGAGGUUAAGCCAAUCCCACAAAUCUGUUCUCAGUUCGGAUCGCAGUCUGCAACUCGACUGCGUGAAGCUGGAAUCGCUAGUAAUCGCGGAUCAGCAUGCCGCGGUGAAUACGUUCCCGGGCCUUGUACACACCGCCCGUCACACCACGAGAGUUUGUAACACCCGAAGUCGGUGAGGUAACCUUUUAGGAGCCAGCCGCCGAAGGUGGGACAGAUGAUUGGGGUGAAGUCGUACAGGGGUAACCGUAAAGAGGGGAGCGGGGGCCCCCUCCCCACUCUCCUUCCCUAUACU
rnacentral:rRNA from 1 species